rnacentral:rRNA from 1 species
AGUCCCUACGGGAGGCAGCAGUGGGGAAUAUUGGGCAAUGGAGGCAACUCUUACCCAGCAAUGCCGCGUGAAUGAAGAAGGUCUUCGGAUUGUAAAGUUCUUUAAUUGGGGACGAAAAAAAUGACGGUACCCAAGGAAUAAGCCCCGGCUAACUACGUGCCAGCAGCCGCGGUAAUACGUAGGUGACAAGCGUUGUCCGGAUUUACUGGGUGUAAAGGGCGUGCAGCCGGGAAGACAAGUCAGAUGUGGAAUCCCGCGGCUCAACCGCGGAACUGCAUUUGAAACUGUUUUUCUUGAGUACCGGA